rnacentral:rRNA from 1 species
CAGCCGCCACGGUAAUACGAAGGGUGCAAGCGUUACUCGGAAUUACUGGGCGUAAAGCGUGUGUAGGUGGUUGUUUAAGUCUGUCGUGAAAGCCCUGGGCUCAACCUGGGAAUUGCGAUGGAUACUGGGCGACUAGAGUGCGGUAGAGGAUAGUGGAAUUUCCGGUGUAGCAGUGAAAUGCGUAGAGAUCGGGAGGAACAUCAGUGGCGAAGGCGGCCAUCUGGGACAACACUGACGCUGAAGCACGAAAGCGUGGGGAGCAAACAGGAUUAGAUACCCCGUAGUCCCUGUCUCUUAUACA